UACGGGGGGAGCAAGCGUUGUUCGGAUUUACUGGGCGUAAAGCGUGCGCAGGCGGUUGUGCAAGACAGAUGUGAAAUCCCCGGGCUCAACCUGGGAACUGCAUUUGUGACUGCGCGGCUAGAGUGUGUCAGAGGGGGGUAGAAUUCCACGUGUAGCAGUGAAAUGCGUAGAUAUGUGGAGGAAUACCGAUGGCGAAGGCAGCCCCCUGGGAUAACACUGACGCUCAUGCACGAAAGCGUGGGGAGCAAACAGG
rnacentral:rRNA from 1 species